AUUGAACGCUGGCGGCAUGCCUUACACAUGCAAGUCGAACGGUAACGCGGGGCAACCUGGCGACGAGUGGCGAACGGGUGAGUAAUGUAUCGGAACGUGCCCAGUUGUGGGGGAUAACUGCUCGAAAGAGCUGCUAAUACCGCAUACGACCUGAGGGUGAAAGCGGGGGAUCGCAAGACCUCGCGCAAUUGGAGCGGCCGAUAUCAGAUUAGGUAGUUGGUGGGGUAAAGGCCCACCAAGCCAACGAUCUGUAGCUGGUCUGAGAGGACGACCAGCCACACUGGGACUGAGACACGGCCCAGACUCCUACGGGAGGCAGCAGUGGGGAAUUUUGGACAAUGGACGCAAGUCCGAUCCAGCCAUGCCGCGUGCGGGAAGAAGGCCUUCGGGUUGUAAACCGCUUUUGUCAGGGAAGAAAAGGGCGACUCUAAUACAGUUGCCUCAUGACGGUACCUGAAGAAUAAGCACCGGCUAACUACGUGCCAGCCGCCGCCGUAAAAC
rnacentral:rRNA from 1 species